UACAGAGGGGGCAAGCGUUAUUCGGAAUUAUUGGGCGUAAAGGGCGCGUAGGCGGCUAUUCAAGUGGCGGGUGAAAUCCCUCGGCUUAACCGAGGAACUGCCUGCCAGACUGGAUGGCUUGAGACCGGGAGAGGGAAGCGGAAUUCCGGGUGUAGCGGUGAAAUGCGUAGAUAUCCGGAGGAACACCGGUGGCGAAGGCGGCUUCCUGGACCGACACUGACGCUGAGGCGCGAAAGCUAGGGGAGCAAACGGG
rnacentral:rRNA from 1 species